UGUAAAAAAUGUAAUUUUUUGAUCGUGAAAAUGUUCCUUUUGAAUGGGAUCACGUAUCGUCAAGAUUUCCAAGAGUUACAUCAUUUUUUAAGUCGUGUUCACUACACUCCCUGGGAAUUUGACAAAGCUGUUUAAAAAAUUCUGUAGUUAUUUCUUUGCAAUAAUGGAUGGAUACAAUGUUUGCGAUGAAAACCACGUUUAACCAAGAAAGAACAGGGUGCAUUUUACCUGACAUAGUUUAAAAUAAUGCCGAACCUAUCAUCACCUGAUUUUUAAACCAUUUGGAGAACCUGUUGCUACAGAUUGAAGUUCAGAAAUGGUUUUUUAGCCAUUCCGUAAUCCUAUUACUCAUAGAGGUUUUAACUGUUUGAACGUAUGUGCAGUACAAGAGAGUCGAUGGCGGAAUAUCAAGUACACCAUCAAUCCUCAACCAGACUAGGUAGGUAUGUACUGUUGUAAGUAUAGUGGUCUACGCUUGAUGAAUGGUGAUGAGAAAAUAUCCAGUACUCCAUCCUUAAUGAGUGACAGAAAUUUACCCAAUGAACUACAAGGAUCUCUGAGGAACGUUCUACUUCUGAUUACCUGCAACUCAGAUCAGCUUCAGCUGCUCGUCAUGGUAACGGCGUAAUGACAUCUAACAUCAUGAUAUGAACAGUUCCAGUUGCAGAUGUUAUAAAGAGUGUCAUUGGUUCAAGAGAAAUUCAACCGAGCCAUCUAAAAAGGACACCCUGUAUAAUUUAUAUUUCGCUACUUAUACUACACCAUC